rnacentral:rRNA from 1 species
CAGUCGCCGCGGGAAUACGGAGGGUGCAAGCGUUAAUCGGAAUUACUGGGCGUAAAGCGUGCGCAGGCGGUUUGUUAAGACAGAUGUGAAAUCCCCGGGCUCAACCUGGGAACUGCAUUUGUGACUGGCAAGCUAGAGUGUGGCAGAGGGGGGUGGAAUUCCGCGUGUAGCAGUGAAAUGCGUAGAUAUGCGGAGGAACACCGAUGGCGAAGGCAGCUCCCUGGGACAACACUGACGCUGAGGCACGAAAGCGUGGGGAGCAAACAGGAUUAGAUACCCGGGUAGUCCCUGUCUCUUAUAC